rnacentral:rRNA from 1 species
ACGAACGCUGGCGGCGUGCUCAACACAUGCAAGUCGAACGCGCCUGUCCUCUGGGUUUCUGGGGGGUGGGUGAGUGGCGAACGGGUGAGUAACACGUGAGUAACCUGCCCCCUUCUUCGGGAUAACGGUCUGAAAGGGCUGCUAAUACCGGGUAUUCACUGGUCUCCGCAUGGGGUCUGGUGGAAAGGUUUUUUUCUGGUGGGGGAUGGGCUCGCGGCCUAUCAGCUUGUUGGUGGGGUGAUGGCCCACCAAGGCUUUGACAGGUAGCCGGCCUGAGAGGGUGACCGGUCACAUUGGGACUGAGAUACGGCCCAGACUCCUACGGGAGGCAGCAGUGGGGAAUAUUGCACAAUGGGCGCAAGCCUGAUGCAGCGACGCCGCGUGAGGGAUGGAGGCCUUCGGGUUGUGAACCUCUUUCGCCCGUGGUCAAGCCGCGACGUGGGUCGUGGUGAGGGUAGUGGGUAAAGAAGCGCCGGCUAACUACGUG